rnacentral:rRNA from 1 species
UACGUAGGGGGCGAGCGUUGUCCGGAAUCAUUGGGCGUAAAGGGCGCGUAGGCGGCCUGGUAAGCGUGCGGUGAAAGCCCGGGGCUCAACCCCGGGUCGGCCGUGCGAACUGCGAGGCUGGAGCACUGUAGAGGCAGGUGGAAUUCCGGGUGUAGCGGUGGAAUGCGUAGAGAUCCGGAAGAACACCGGUGGCGAAGGCGGCCUGCUGGGCAGUGGCUGACGCUGAGGCGCGACAGCGUGGGGAGCAAACAGG